CCUCUUCUUGUGAAUGCCAUAGUAUCGAUGAUAACAUCAACUGUUUGUGGUCAUGUCGUCUGCAUCGGAGGUGUAUUGGAGUCUUGUGAUUGCCUCGUAGCGGUGCUAACAGCAGGUUCAUUCAGACAGUCAACAGUUAUGGUACCAAAUGC